GCCAAGCAACUAGCCUUACCCCAAACCUAACCCAGCAAUAUAAAUAAUGAGACAUAGUUUAACACAACAAAUUAAACCAUUUUUACCAUCCUAGUACGGGAGACAGAAAAGAUUCAAGAAGAGCAAUAGAGAAAGUACCGUAAGGGAAAGAUGAAAGAGAAGUGAAAUAACUCAUAUAAGCACAAAAAAACAGGAGUAAAACCCCGUACCUUUUGCAUCAUGAUUUAGCUAGUAUAAUCAAGCAAAGAGACCUUUAGUUUAGUACCCCGAAACCAGGUGAGCUACCCCGAGACAGCCUAUUCACAAAGAGCAAACCCGUCUCUGUGGCAAAAGAGUGGGAAGAACUCCGGGUAGGGGUGACAGACCUAUCGAACCUGGUCAUAGCUGGUUGCUCAGGAAAUGAAUACAAGUUCAGCCUAAUAUUUUCCAUAUUUUAUGAAAACUAAAAAUUAAAAGGAAAAGAUACUAGAGUUAGUCAAGGGGGGUACAGCCCCUUUGACCAAGGACACAACCUUAUCAGGAGAAUAAAGAUCACACUACAUAAAAUUAAUUGUCUUGGUGGGCCUAACAGCAGCCACCCAAUCAGAAAGCGUUAAAGCUCAGACAAAAAAAAUUAAAUAUUCCGACAAAAAAUCUUAGUUCCCUAAAAGUACUGGGCCACCCCAUGCUCUCAUGGGAGAGAUAAUGCUAAAAUGAGUAACAAGAAGACUAGAACUUCUCCCAACACAAGUGUAAGUUGGACUGGACUAACCACCAACAGAUAACGAACCCAAAAAAAGAGGGAAAUGUGGACAACAAAGAAAUCUAGAAAGCCCCACAACAACUAUCGUUACCCCUACACUGGAGUGCAUCCCUGGAAAGACUAAAAGGGGGGAAAGGAACUCGGCAAACACAAGCCUCGCCUGUUUACCAAAAACAUCGCCUCCUGCAACAUACCAGUAUAGGAGGUCCAGCCUGCCCAGUGACUUUAGUUCAACGGCCGCGGUAUUCUGACCGUGCAAAGGUAGCGUAAUCACUUGUCUUUUAAAUAGAGACCUGUAUGAAAGGCUAAACGAGGGCUUAACUGUCUCCCCCUUCCAGUCAGUGAAAUUGAUUUACCCGUGCAGAAGCGGAUACAAAAAUACAAGACGAGAAGACCCUUUGGAGCUUAAGGUACAAACUUAAUCAUGUCAAACAACUUAACUCAAGAGCAAAAACUUAGUGAAAAAUAAGAACUUUACCUUCGGUUGGGGCGACCAUGGAGUAAAAACAAGCCUCCAAGUGGAACGGGUAAUAAACCUAAAACCAAGAGAGACAUCUCUAAGCCACAGAACAUCUGACCAAAAAUGAUCCGACUUAUAACAGUCGAUCAACGAACCAAGUUACCCUAGGGAUAACAGCGCAAUCCUCUCCCAGAGCUCAUAUCGACGAGAGGGUUUACGACCUCGAUGUUGGAUCAGGACAUCCUAAUGGUGCAACUGCUAUUAAGGGUUCGUUUGUUCAACGAUUAAAGUCCUACGUGAUCUGAGUUCAGACCGGAGUAAUCCAGGUCAGUUUCUAUCUGUAACACCACUUCUUCCUAGUACGAAAGGACAGGAAAGAAGGGGCCCAUACUAAGGGCACGCCCCAUUCUGAAUUGAUGAACGCAAAUAAAUCAAGUAAAAGAAGGCUAUAAACCUUACUCAAGAUCAGAGUC
rnacentral:rRNA from 1 species